rnacentral:rRNA from 1 species
UACAGAGGGUGCGAGCGUUGUUCGGAAUUACUGGGCGUAAAGCGCGCGCAGGCGGCUUUUUAAGUCCGACGGUGAAAUGCCGGGGCUCAACCCCGUGCCCGCCGCGGAUACUGGGAAGCUGGAGACGAGUAGAGGCAAGCGGAAUUCCGGGUGUAGCGGUGGAAUGCGUAGAGAUCCGGAAGAACACCGGAGGCGAAGGCGGCUUGCUGGGCUCGGUCUGACGCUGAGGCGCGAAAGCGUGGGGAGCAAACAGG